CUCAGGCCCUCCUGGGAUAGCUGUCCUCCUCUGGGGCCCUGUACUUGCUCCCAGCCAUGGUGGCUAGGCUCACUGCUCUCCUCCUUUACCUCGUUUUCUCCUUGGCCAUCCUGGUCCAGACAGAGAGCCACUUUAGCACCACGACUAGAAGGACAGGAACAACCAGAGCCCCAUCAAAUCCAGCAGAGAGAGGGGACCACAUCACCACUACUACAACGAGAAGGCCAGGAACAACUAGAGCACUGUCAAAUCCUAUGGGUAAGACAAGCUCUCAGAGGAAAAAAGGAAGGAAGGAUUUUCCACAUCAGC
rnacentral:lncRNA from 1 species